rnacentral:misc_RNA from 1 species
AACGCACGAGACCUGCGGACCUGCGGAAGGAUCAUUAAUGAGAAGCUGCCCCUCGUGGGUAGACCUCCCACCCUCUGUGAACUUACCUCUGUUGCUUUGGCAGGCCCGUCCUCUGGACCGCCGGCUUCGGCUGGCCCGUGCCUGCCAGAGGAUUCCAAACCCUGUCUGUCAGUGUUGUCUGAGUCUAUAUGAAAUCGUUAAAACUUUCAACAAUGGAUCUCUAGAUCGGAAGAGCACACG